UCCUCUUCGUUUUCUGUUUUGGUUCUAUCUGUGGCGUCAUCUUCGAGUAACAGCUGGGAUGAGAAACCAAGUUGCCAGAGCUGCGGCAGUGCUGUUAUGAAUAUGGAUUAUUGUUGCUGAUUCAUUUCCUGUGUUUCCUUGCGAGUAGUGCUCAGUUUUCUGCGUCCCUGUUCUGCUGCAAUCUUCAUUUUCUUCUUCUUUCUCCUUUGUUGUCCGCUGCCAUCUGGGUUGAGAAGGGUGUGCAGAAGAAAGGGAACCUGACCAAAAUUGAAAGAAAGGAUAUCUUUAAAAAUUUUGAAGCUCCGACGAAUUGGUUAGCUGACGCCGAUUCUACCAGCAACCUCAAAAGGGCAACUAGCUACAGUGGG